rnacentral:rRNA from 1 species
CAACGUAGGUAACCUGCCCAUGUGCCCGGGAUAACUUCUGGAAACGGAUGCUAAAACCGGAUAGGUAGCAGACAAGCAUUUGACUGCUAUUAAAGUGGCUAAGGCCAUGAACAUGGAUGGACCUGCGGUGCAUUAGCUAGUUGGUGAGGUAACGGCCCACCAAGGCGACGAUGCAUAGCCGGCCUGAGAGGGCGGACGGCCACAUUGGGACUGAGACACGGCCCAAUCUCCUACGGGAGGCAGCAUG